AUGGAUUUGAAAUACUCCGCCGUUUUCCUCCUCGGUCUUCUUUUCUCAUGCGUUGCCAUGAGCGGGGCUGCCAGAAUCCUAGAGGAUACCGUUCCUUCCAAGGAGAAGCACCAGCCCGAGGUGCCAUCGCUUCCCAAGAUGGAGUUGCCACCGUUCCCAGAAGUGCACCUGCCACCUAAUCCUGAGCUACCCAAGGUGGAGCUUCCGCCGGUCCCUGAGGUGCACCUGCCACCCAAACCGGAGAUGCCCAAGGUGGAGCUGCCGCUUUUCCCGGAGGUACACAUGCCACCCAAGCCGGAGUUGCCCAAGGUGGAGCUGCCAGCGUUCCCAGAGGUGCACCUGCCACCCAAGCCGGAGAUGCCGAAGGUGGAGUUGCCGCCGAUGCCCGAGAUGCCCACUGUUCCCGAGAUCCAAUUCUCGGAGCCGAAGGUCAAGCCAUGA
rnacentral:rRNA from 1 species